CCUACGGGAGGCAGCAGUGAGGAAUAUUGGUCAAUGGACGAGAGUCUGAACCAGCCAAGUAGCGUGAAGGAUGACUGCCCUAUGGGUUGUAAACUUCUUUUAUAUGGGAAUAAAAUGUUCCACGUGUGGGAUUUUGUAUGUACCAUAUGAAUAAGGAUCGGCUAACUCCGUGCCAGCAGCCGCGGUAAUACGGAGGAUCCGAGCGUUAUCCGGAUUUAUUGGGUUUAAAGGGAGCGUAGGUGGAUUGUUAAGUCAGUUGUGAAAGUUUGCGGCUCAACCGUAAAAUUGCAGUUGAAACGGGCAGUCUGGAGUACAGUAGAGGGGGGCGGAAGGAGUGGGGUAGCGGUGAAAUGCGGAGAUAGCACGAAGAACGCCGAGUGCGAAGGCAGCUCACUGGACUGCAACUGACACGGAGGCGAGAAAGUGGGGGUAGCAAACAGGAUUAGAUACCCGAGUAGUC
rnacentral:rRNA from 1 species